CGCGCAGCCAGCCUGCGUUGCACCAGUCCAGGCCGUCGCGCCAGGCCGCGUGCAGCUGCUCUGCGGAUGCCAGGAUGCCGUCCUGCUCAGCGCAGGCGCGCUGCGCCUCAAUGAAGAGUCUUCCUGGGUGGACUGAGGAAGCAGAACCAGGUGGGAGGGAAUUCUUCAGAUAGAACGCCCACCUCGCAGCUCCACAGUCAGCCAAUCAGAACAUCCCAUCUCCCGGCCACGGUAAUUGGCUCAUGGAUGGACACAUGACUCAAGCUGGGCCAAUGAGGGACAACUCUGGGACUCUAUCUAGCCCUGUUAGGAAAUUAAUUGCUGAGCUGAAAACCUGCCUGAGGAAAGCCCAGUCAGGGAAACAGAAACAUGGUUCAUCCUGUCCAUGGGCUGGUUACCUUCGAGAUCCAGCUUGACCAUGCCAGUGUCAUCUUCCAGCUCAUUGGUGACCUCGCAUUCAUAGCGCCCAUAAUCCUGCAGCGUAACGUUUCGGAGAACCAAGGAGGC